rnacentral:snRNA from 1 species
UAAAAGGGUCGGUUGGCUAAAUGUGCCACGCUCGCCCUCGAAAUGGUGAGUGCUGUAUGGCUAUCAAGACAUAUGGCCGACAUAAUUUGUGUAAACCCAAUAGGGUUGGCUCGCUUUGGCCGACCCUCCU